CCUACGGGGGGCAGCAGUGGGGAAUAUUGGACAAUGGGGGCAACCCUGAUCCAGCCAUGCCGCGUGUGUGAAGAAGGCCCUCGGGUUGUAAAGCACUUUCAGUGAGGAAGAACGCCUGGUGGUUAAUACCCAUCAGGAAAGACAUCACUCACAGAAGAAGCACCGGCUAACUCCGUGCCAGCAGCCGCGGUAAUACGGAGGGUGCGAGCGUUAAUCGGAAUUACUGGACGUAAAGCGCGCGUAGGUGGCUUGAUAAGCCGGUUGUGAAAGCCCCGGGCUCAACCUGGGAACGGCAUCCGGAACUGUCAAGCUAGAGUGCAGGAGAGGAAGGUAGAAUUCCCGGUGUAGCGGUGAAAUGCGUAGAGAUCGGGAGGAAUACCAGUGGCGAAGGCGGCCUUCUGGACUGACACUGACACUGAGGUGCGAAAGCGUGGGUAGCAAACAGGAUUAGAUACCCUAGUAGUC
rnacentral:rRNA from 1 species